CCGCGAGGCAAGGGGCGGGGCGGCGCGCGGAUCGAUGGGCGAAGCUGGGGAGGAAUUUCAAUCCCCGGAGCGAAGUUAGAGCUUGAAGGACGGCGGCGGCAGCGGCGGCGGCGGCGGCGGCGGGCGCAGCCCCGGAACGGCGGCCAGACAAGCAGCAGGACCGGCUGGAGCUGGCGCACACCGAGGCCGAUGGGGAGGGAGGCCGCGGUCCCGGCAGGACGCAGGUGGACGGCGAGAGGCCGCUGGCUGUGAGCGAGGCGCUCCCGCAGCCCCCGCACGGUGCGGCCAUGCGGUUUGGGACAGGACACCCCUGAGAGCGCCGACGCCCCCUCCUCCCGCCCCUCUGUCCCUUCAGGGGCUGCUGCCGCCCAGCGCCCCCCCCUGCCCCCGACCCCGUCCCCCCGGGCAGGCUGAGCGGGGG
rnacentral:lncRNA from 9 species